GUGGAUAUGGUGAAGCGGUUAACACAAACGACUGUGACUCGUUCAUACGUGGGUUCGAUCCCCACUAUCCACCCCA
rnacentral:tRNA from 3 species